rnacentral:tRNA from 1 species
AGGGCAGUAGCUCCAACGGUAGAGCGGCGGACUCCAAAUCCGUAGGUUGUGGGUUCGAAUCCCUCCUGCCCUG